rnacentral:rRNA from 1 species
GUGCCAGCCGCGGCGGUAAUACGUAGGGUGCGAGCGUUGUCCGGAAUUAUUGGGCGUAAAGGGCUCGUAGGCGGUUUGUCGCGUCGGGAGUGAAACACCGGGCUUAACUCGGUGCUUGCUUUCGAUACGGGCAGACUAGAGGCAUGCAGGGGAGAACGGAAUUCCUGGUGUAGCGGUGAAAUGCGCAGAUAUCAGGAGGAACACCGGUGGCGAAGGCGGUUCUCUGGGCAUGUCCUGACGCUGAGGAGCGAAAGUGUGGGGAGCGAACAGGAUUAGAUACCCUGGUAGUCCACACCGUAAACGUUGGCGCUAGGUGUGGGCCUAUUCCAUGGGUUCCGUGCCGCAGCUAACGCAUUAAGCGCCCCGCCUGGGGAGUACGGCCGCAAGGCUAAAACUCAAAGGAAUUGACGGGGCCCGCACAAGCGGCGGAGCAUGCGGAUUAAUUCGAUGCAACGCGAAGAACCUUACCUGGGUUUGACAUACACCCUGCCGCUGCAGAGAUGUGGUUUCUUUGGGGUGUACGAGGUGGUGCAU